GUCUACGGCCAUACCACCCUGAACGCGCCCGAUCUCGUCUGACCUCGGAAGCUAAGCAGGGUCGGGCCUGGUUAGUACUUGGAUGGGAGAAGUAGUUAUAUCAAUAAGGUAAAAAGCAUUUGUUAUAUAUA
rnacentral:rRNA from 1 species